ACACAUGCAAGUCGAGGGGAAACGACAUCGAAAGCUUGCUUUUGAUGGGCGUCGACCGGCGCACGGGUGAGUAACGCGUAUCCAACCUGCCCAUCACUUGGGGAUAACCUUGCGAAAGUAAGACUAAUACCCAAUGACGUCUCUAGAAGACAUCUGAAAGAGAUUAAAGAUUUAUCGGUGAUGGAUGGGGAUGCGUCUGAUUAGCUUGUUGGCGGGGUAACGGCCCACCAAGGCGACGAUCAGUAGGGGUUCUGAGAGGAAGGUCCCCCACAUUGGAACUGAGACACGGUCCAAACUCCUACGGGAGGCAGCAGUGAGGAAUAUUGGUCAAUGGGCGAGAGCCUGAACCAGCCAAGUAGCGUGCAGGAUGACGGCCCUAUGGGUUGUAAACUGCUUUUAUAAGGGAAUAAAGUGAGUCUCGUGAGACUUUUUGCAUGUACCUUAUGAAUAAGGACCGGCUAAUUCCGUGCCAGCAGCCGCGGUAAUACGGAAGGUCCGGGCGUUAUCCGGAUUUAUUGGGUUUAAAGGGAGCGUAGGCCGGAGAUUAAGCGUGUUGUGAAAUGUAGAUGCUCAACAUCUGAACUGCAGCGCGAACUGGUUUCCUUGAGUACGCACAAAGUGGGCGGAAUUCGUGGUGUAGCGGUGAAAUGCUUAGAUAUCACGAAGAACUCCGAUUGCGAAGGCAGCUCACUGGAGCGCAACUGACGCUGAAGCUCGAAAGUGCGGGUAUCGAACAGGAUUAGAUACCCUGGUAGUCCGCACGGUAAACGAUGGAUGCCCGCUGUUGGUCUGAAUAGGUCAGCGGCCAAGCGAAAGCAUUAAGCAUCCCACCUGGGGAGUACGCCGGCA
rnacentral:rRNA from 1 species